GACGAACGCUGGCGGCGUGCUUAACACAUGCAAGUCGAACGGAAAGGCCCUGCUUUUGUGGGGUGCUCGAGUGGCGAACGGGUGAGUAACACGUGAGUAACCUGCCCUUGACUUUGGUAUAACUUCAGGAAACUGGGGCUAAUACCGGAUAGGAGCUCCUGCUGCAUGGUGGGGGUUGGAUAGUUUCGGCGGUUGGGGCUGGACUCGCGGCUUAUCAGCUGGUUGGUGGGGUAGUGGCUUACCAAGGCUUUGACGGGUAGCCGGCCUGAGAGGGUGACCGGCAACGUGGGGAGUGAGAUACGGCCACGAGUGCUACGGGAGGGAGCAGUGGGGAAAAGUGCACAAUGGGCGGAAGCCUGAUGCAGCAACGCCGCGUGCGGGAUGACGGCCUUCGGGUUGUAAACCGCUUUCGCCUGUGACGAAGCGUGGGUGACGGUAGUGGGUAAAGAAGCACCGGCUAACUACGUG
rnacentral:rRNA from 1 species